rnacentral:misc_RNA from 1 species
AACGCACAUUGCACCCUUUGGUAUUCCAGAGGGUAUGCCUGUUCGAGCGUCAUUUCAACCCUCAAGCUCAGCUUGGUAUUGGGUGUCACCUGGUUAAUAGCAUAGGUGUGCCUCAAAAUCAGUGGCGGUGCCAUCUGGCUUCAAGCGAAGUAAAAUUCUCGCUAUGGAGGUUUGGAUUUGUGCUUGCCAGUCAAUCUAAUUUAUCAAAAGGUUGACCUCGGAUCAGGUAGGGAUACCCGCUGAACUUAA